rnacentral:rRNA from 1 species
GAAAUCAACCGAGAUUCCCCCAGUAGCGGCGAGCGAACGGGGAGGAGCCCAGAGCCUGAAUCAGCAUGUGUGUUAGUGGAAGCGUCUGGAAAGGCGCGCGAUACAGGGUGACAGCCCCGUACACAAAAGCGCAUGUGCUGUGAGCUCGAUGAGUAGGGCGGGACACGUGGUAUCCUGUCUGAAUAUGGGGGGACCAUCCUCCAAGGCUAAAUACUCCUGACUGACCGAUAGUGAACCAGUACCGUGAGGGAAAGGCGAAAAGAACCCCGGCGAGGGGAGUGAAAAAGAACCUGAAACCGUGUACGUACAAGCAGUGGGAGCACCCUUUGGGGUGUGACUGCGUACCUUUUGUAUAAUGGGUCAGCGACUUAUAUUCUGUAGCAAGGUUAACCGUAUAGGGGAGCCGGAGGGAAACCGAGUCUUAACCGGGCGUUAAGUUGCAGGGUAUAGACCCGAAACCCGGUGAUCUAGCCAUGGGCAGGUUGAAGGUUGGGUAACACUAACUGGAGGACCGAACCGACUAAUGUUGAAAAAUUAGCGGAUGACCUGUGGCUGGGGGUGAAAGGCCAAUCAAACCGGGAGAUAGCUGGUUCUCCCCGAAAGCUAUUUAGGUAGCGCCUCGUGAAUUCAUCUCCGGGGGUAGAGCACUGUUUCGGCUAGGGGGCCAUCCCGGCUUACCAACCCGAUGCAAACUGCGAAUACCGGAGAAUGUUAUCACGGGAGACACACGGCGGGUGCUAACGUCCGUCGUGAAGAGGGAAACAACCCAGACCGCCAGCUAAGGUCCCAAAGUCAUGGUUAAGUGGGAAACGAUGUGGGAAGGCCCAGACAGCCAGGAUGUUGGCUUAGAAGCAGCCAUCAUUUAAAGAAAGCGUAAUAGCUCACUGGUCGAGUCGGCCUGCGCGGAAGAUGUAACGGGGCUAAACCAUGCACCGAAGCUGCGGCAGCGACGCUUAUGCGUUGUUGGGUAGGGGAGCGUUCUGUAAGCCUGCGAAGGUGGCCUGUGAGGGUUGCUGGAGGUAUCAGAAGUGCGAAUGCUGACAUAAGUAACGAUAAAGCGGGUGAAAAGCCCGCUCGCCGGAAGACCAAGGGUUCCUGUCCAACGUUAAUCGGGGCAGGGUGAGUCGACCCCUAAGGCGAGGCCGAAAGGCGUAGUCGAUGGGAAACGGGUUAAUAUUCCCGUACUUGGUGUUACUGCGAAGGGGGGACGGAGAAGGCUAUGUUGGCCGGGCGACGGUUGUCCCGGUUUAAGCGUGUAGGUGUGUGUUCCAGGUAAAUCCGGUU